rnacentral:rRNA from 1 species
AUUGAACGCUGGCGGCAGGCCUAACACAUGCAAGUCGAACGAGUGGCGGACGGGUGAGUAAUGUCUGGGAAACUGCCUGAUGGCGGGGGAUAACUACUGGAACCGGUAGCUAAUCCCGCAUACCAUCGUAUGUUCCCAGAUGGGAUUAGCUAGUAGGUGGGGUAAAGGCUCACCUAGGCGACGAUCCCUAGCUGGUCUGAGAGGAUGACCAGCAAAACGGGAACUGAGAAACGGGCCAGACUCCUACGGGAGGCAGCAGUGGGGAAUAUGGCACAAUGGGCGCAAGCCUGAUGCAGCCAUGCCGCGUGUAUGAAGAAGGCCUUCGGGUUGUAAAGUACUUUCAGCGGGGAGGCGUUACCCGCAGAAGAAGCACCGGCUAACUCCGUGCCAGCAGCCGCGGUAAUUC